AGGUGGCAAUAAAUACUGAGAAAGUUGAGGAAUACUCAUCAAACACUUAUUUGGAACAUCCCACAGGUGAACAGGCAAGUUGGGAACAGGUGGGUGCCAUGAUUGGGUAUAAAAGUAGAUUGCAUGAAAUGCUCAGUCAUUCACAAACAAGGAUGGGGCGAGGUUGAAAAGUCAGCAUCUGUGAUGGUAUGGGGGUGUACUAGUGCCCAAGACAUGGGUAACUUACACAUCUGUGAAGGCACCAUUAAUGCUGAAAGGUACAUACAGGUUUUGGAGCAACAUAUGUUGCCUUCCAAGCAACGUUAUCAUGGACGCCCCUGCUUAUAUCAGCAAGACAAUGCCAAGCCACGUGUUACAUCAACGUGGCUUCAUAGUAAAAGAGUGCAGGUACUAGACUGGCCUGCCUGUAGUCCAGACCUGUCUCCCAUUGAAAAUGUGUGGCACAUUAUGAAGCAUAAAAUACGACAACAGAGACCCCGGACUGUUAAACAACUUAAGCUGUACAUCAAGCAAGAAUGGGAAAGAUUUCCCCCUGAAAAGCUUAAGAAAUCGGUCUCCUCAGUUCCCAAAAGUUAACUGAGUGUUGUUAAAAGGAAAGCCAUGUAACACAGUGGUAAAAAUGCCCAUGUGACAACUUUUGCUGACAUUUAAUUCUAAGUUAAUGAUUAUAUGCAAAAAAAAAACAAGUUUCUCAGUUCGAACAUUAAAUAUCUUGUCUUUGCAAUCUAUUCAAUUGAAUAUAAGUUGAAAAGGAUUUGCAAAUCAUUGUAUUCUGUUUUUAUUUACGAGUUACACAAUGUGCCAAUUAACUGGUUUUGGGUUUUGUAUAUGUGUAUAUACGUAUAUAUGUACCUGUAUAUACAGUAUGGGUGUAUGUAAGUAUAUGUGUAUACAUAUAUAUUAGGGCUGCAACAACUAAUCGAUUAAAAUCAAUUUUAAAAAUAGUCAUCGAUUCGUUGGAUCUAUGCUAUGCGCAUGCGCUGCGGCGACGUCUCAUGAGGUGCCAGUAAGCCAGCCAAUGAUGUGUCAGUGCAGUUCACGUCACGACGCCGUCUCCUUUGCCUGAAAACAUUCGAAAAAUGGCGGAGGAAAACAGUACGGAUAGUUCAGCGGAGAAACAUCUUGAGGUUAUCAAUGGAGAAAAGUGUACGACCUAAGUCGUCAAAAGUGUGGGAGCACUUUACUUUAAAGACUUCAAAGAAGACCGUUUCCUGCAAAAUGUGCAGCAUGGACCUCGCAUGGCACGGAAGUACAACAUUGCUUCGGGAGAAACAUGUUGGAGCCAUGGAUGAAGGGAAGAACUCACGAAAGAAAACAACCCAGCAUUAGCGACUUGGUACAAAGGAAGAUGUGCACAACACAGAUUAGGCCACUAUCAAUGGUGGAGGACGAAGGUUUUAGACAAAUGAUUCACGUCCUCAACCCUGGUUACACUCUUCCCUCUGGGACCCAUUUUACCAAACUGAUGGAGAGGAAGUAUGAGCACACAUUCUAAGCAGUGUAGACUGACAUAAAAUCCACCCAGAGCAAAAUUGCUCUCACUACUGAUGUGUGGACAAGUGGAGCCACAGAAGCCUACCUUGUGAAUGAAUGAAGGGUUCUACAUGUAAAGCGACUUUGGGUACUUAGAAAAGCACUAUAUAAAUCCCAGGUAUUAUUAUUAUUAUUGGCAAUACAUGCCAUUACAUUGGAGACGAAUGGAACAUGAAGUCAGUCUGCCUUACGACCAUGCCACUAGAGCAGGGGUCCCCAAACUUUUUGACUCGGGGGCCGCAUUGGGUUAAAAAAAUUUGGCGGGGGGCCAGGUUGUGUAUAUAUAUAUAUAUAUAUAUAUGUAUGUUCAUCAACAUUUAUCAUUGUCACGUUAUCGAUGGGAAAAUUCGAUGGGAGACACAAAGAGUAACAAGUGGUAGAAAACAGAUUCGAAAGGAAAGAUAAAAAAAAAAAAUAAUAACUUGGGACUUCCUGUGGGCCGGAUUUUGGAUGCUGGGGGAUCAUAGUUUGGGGACUCCUGCACUGGAGGAAAGACAUUCAGCAUCCAACAUUGCAGAAUGGUUGGAAUAGGUAGUAGCCAGGUUUGAAAUUCCUCCAAGCAAAAUGAUUGCUAUUGUGCAUGACAAUGGUGCACUUUAUAAAUAGAAACCUUUUUGUAACAUUUGCUUUGUUUUAUUUGGCGAGUUGAAAGAACAUGGUGCCAGUAUGCUGUUUUUUUCAAUAAAAUACUGGAAAGGAUAGAA